CUCAUUGCCUACCUUUCCAAUGAUGACCAGCUCUGCCAGUUUGGAGAGUAAUAGGUUAACCAUUCUAAUUUUACAUUCUCAUUCAGUGUGGGCUGUCUCUGUAGCACAUUUCUGGUUCUAAGCCUGUAUGUAGCCUAGCUGAGCCCCAUAGCUAAUGCAGUUUAUAAAUCUUUGGCUAGCCAUCAUUGCCCUCAGUCUAGCAGUGUAUUGGUUCAUACAGCUGAUUUAACUGGUUUAACAACCCUCCUUACUCUGCAGCAGAGAACACUGUGAAC